rnacentral:tRNA from 1 species
GGGAAUGUGGCUUAGUGGUAGAGUGCUUGCCUAGCAAGCAUGAAGUCCUAGGUUCAAUUCCUUAGUACCA